UUCUCAAUCCUCCUCUGCUGGUCAGCCAAGGCCAGGAACAGAGUGUUUCCACCUUCCUUACGUCAAUCUGUCCGGCUGUAGCAGGUGGCUCUGUUGGAAGGCUACAUCCUCAACUCUGGAUGUCCAGAAGACUGUCUGCUUCCCUGUCCAUUAACACCAGGCAGAAGCCCCACCCAGGGAACACAGCAACUGCCUCUGGGGUGCACCCUUUCAGACCAUCCCCCUGUGUGCGUACAUGGAAUUUAAGGAUCUCUGCUUGUCUGCUGUCUCUGGACCACAACCUCCUUCGGGAUGCCUGUCAUAGCCGUUCUUCUAAGAGCUCUGUGGCCACGCAACCAGCCCUGUGUCACACACCCCAGCCCUUCACCGCUGGUGGCCCAAGGUCAGGCAAGAGUGACAGGAGAGGAGCCUGCGGACAGCUAUCUUAUGAAUGGGCUCCCAUCUGACUGUGAUUGGAAUUAAUACCCAGCUUCCGCUUCCAGGAACGUCUCCAGCAAAGAGAUCUGGGCUGAGAAGGUCUGGGCUGGAAUGCUCUGAGGGCGAGCCAUAAAUCUCUCCCCAAAAUGAUGAUGCAUAAGCUAAUUGCUCUGGAGGCACCGUGCUCACCCCUUGGAGCCAACAUGUCAUUCUGCAUCCUCCCAGCUCUACCAUUCUCUGGGAACAGGGCCAAAGAGGGGUGGAUGGGCGUUGGCAAAGUCACCAUGAAGGAAAACAUUUUAAUUCAUUUAAUUAUGAGACUCUCAGAAACCCAGGCUCUGUUUCUCCUUGGGCUGGUUAAAGAAAAUGAGAAGUGGCUUGUCCCCACCCCCACCUUCUCCUUAGCCAAAGAGGCUCUGAAAAGUGGGGGGUAUGGGCAGCGUGGAGCUAUGCACAGCCAGGAACGCUAGCCCAGACAAUAAAAUGCUAGCCCAACCAGUGCUGGCUUGCAAGACUUCUCCACGCAGUUCACAUUGUUUUUCCUUUCCUUCCAUAUGAGGAGUCCCCAGGGAUCUGCCGUUUGUGACAUACUAAACUUUGUCUUUCUUCCUUUCCCAAGCGUACCCAUGACAUCAAGAUUGUAACGUGUUCAACUUGUAGGUAAUAAAAAUCAGCCUUUCCAGAUUAACCACAAGGUAUCU